rfam:Strongylocentrotus purpuratus Contig90781_fixed, whole genome shotgun sequence.
CCAACGGCUCUUUUCAGAGCCACCACACACUCAAGAAAGAUCUCAA